AGAGUUUGAUCAUGGCUCAGAACGAACGCUGGCGGCAUGCCUAACACAUGCAAGUCGAACGCUAUUUAUAGAGUGGCGCACGGGUGAGUAACGCGUGGGGACCUGCCUUUUUCUGCGGGAUAACGGUUGGAAACGACCGCUAAUACCGCAUACGCCCUACGGGGGAAAGGUCCGCCGGAAAAAGAGGGGCCCGCGUCUGAUUAGCUUGUUGGUAAGGUAAUGGCUUACCAAGGCGACGAUCAGUAGCUGGUCUGAGAGGAUGAUCAGCCACACUGGGACUGAGACACGGCCCAGACUCCUACGGGAGGCAGCAGUGGGGAAUAUUGGACAAUGGGGGCAACCCUGAUCCAGCAAUGCCGCGUGUGUGAUGAAGGCCUUAGGGUUGUAAAGCACUUUCACUGGUGAAGAUGAUGACGGUAACCAGAGAAGAAGCCCCGGCUAACUUCGUGCCAGCCGCCGCGGUAAUAC
rnacentral:rRNA from 1 species